rnacentral:rRNA from 1 species
CAGCAGCCGCGGGAAUACGUAGGGCGCAAGCGUUGUCCGGAAUUAUUGGGCGUAAAGAGCUCGUAGGCGGUCUGUCGCGUCUGGUGUGAAAUCCCGAGGCUCAACCUCGGGCUUGCAUCAGGUACGGGCAGACUAGAGUGCGGUAGGGGAGACUGGAAUUCCUGGUGUAGCGGUGGAAUGCGCAGAUAUCAGGAGGAACACCGAUGGCGAAGGCAGGUCUCUGGGCCGCAACUGACGCUGAGGAGCGAAAGCAUGGGGAGCGAACAGGAUUAGAUACCCCCGUAGUCCCUGUCUCUUAUAC